rnacentral:rRNA from 1 species
GACGAACGCUGGCGGUGUGCCUAAUUCAUGCAAGUCGAGCGAAUCAAAGGGAGCUUGCUCCCAGAGAUUAGCGGCGGACGGGUGAGUAACACGUGGGCAACCUGCCCUGUAGACUGGGAUAACACCGAGAAAUCGGUGCUAAUACCGGAUAACACCUUUCUUCUUAUGGAGGAAGGUUAAAAGUUGGGAUUACUAACACUACAGGAUGGGCCCGCGGCGCAUUAGCUAGUUGGUAAGGUAAUGGCUUACCAAGGCGACGAUGCGUAGCCGACCUGAGAGGGUGAUCGGCCACACUGGGACUGAGACACGGCCCAGACUCCUACGGGAGGCAGCAGUAGGGAAUCUUCCGCAAUGGACGAAAGUCUGACGGAGCAACGCCGCGUGAGUGAUGAAGGUUUUCGGAUCGUAAAGCUCUGUUGUUAGGGAAGAACAAGUGCCGUUCGAAUAGGUCGGCACCUUGACGGUACCUAACCAGAAAGCCACGGCUAACUACGUGCCAGCCGCCGCCGUAAGAC